rnacentral:rRNA from 1 species
GACGAACGCUGGCGGCGUGCUUAACACAUGCAAGUCGAACGGAAAGGCCCUGCUUUUGUGGGGUGCUCGAGUGGCGAACGGGUGAGUAACACGUGAGUAACCUGCCCUUGACUUUGGGAUAACUUCAGGAAACUGGGGCUAUACCGGAUAGGAGCUCCUGCUGCAUGGUGGGGGUUGGAAAGUUUCGGCGGUUGGGGAUGGACUCGCGGCUUAUCAGCUUGUUGGUGGGGUAGUGGCUUACCAAGGCUUUGACGGGUAGCCGGCCUGAGAGGGUGACCGGCCACAUUGGGACUGAGAUACGGCCCAGACUCCUACGGGAGGUAGCAGUGGGGAAUAUUGCACAAUGGGCGGAAGCCUGAUGCAGCAACGCCGCGUGCGGGAUGACGGCCUUCGGGUUGUAAACCGCUUUCGCCUGUGACGAAGCGUGAGUGACGGUAAUGGGUAAAGAAGCACCGGCUAACUACGUG